rnacentral:rRNA from 1 species
UACGUAGGGGGCUAGCGUUGUCCGGAAUCAUUGGGCGUAAAGCGCGUGUAGGCGGUUCGGUAAGUCCGCUGUGAAAGUCGGGGGCUCAACCCUCGGAAGCCGGUGGAUACUGUCGGGCUAGAGUACGGAAGAGGCGAGUGGAAUUCCCGGUGUAGCGGUGAAAUGCGCAGAUAUCGGGAGGAACACCUAUGGCGAAGGCAGCUCGCUGGGACGUUACUGACGCUGAGACGCGAAAGCGUGGGGAGCAAACAGG